rnacentral:misc_RNA from 1 species
UUUCCGUAGGUGAACCUGCGGAAGGAUCAUUAUUGAAUUUCGUUUGGCACGGCGCAAGCUGUGUUGGACACCCCACCCUAUGUUAAUUGAGACGGAGCAAUGGUUCGGGUAACCGUUCCUAUGUUCUGACUCCCCCACCCUUAAUACCUCUCUGAGUUAUUAAAACUUUCAACAACGGAUCUCUUGGCUCUGGUAACGAUGAAGAACGCAGC